rnacentral:rRNA from 1 species
AACGAACGCUGGCGGCAUGCCUAACACAUGCAAGUCGAACGAGACCUUCGGGUCUAGCGGCGCACGGGUGCGUAACGCGUGGGAACCUGCCCUUAGGUUCGGAAUAACUCCCCGAAAGGGGUGCUAAUACCGGAUAAUGUCUUCGGACCAAAGAUUUAUCGCCUUUGGAUGGGCCCGCGUUGGAUUAGCUAGUUGGUAGGGUAAAAGCCUACCAAGGCGACGAUCCAUAGCUGGUCUGAGAGGAUGAUCAGCCACACUGGGACUGAGACACGGCCCAGACUCCUACGGGAGGCAGCAGUGGGGAAUAUUGGACAAUGGGCGAAAGCCUGACCCAGCAAUGCCGCGUGAGUGAUGAAGGCCUUAGGGUUGUAAAGCUCUUUUACCCGGGAUGAUAAUGACAGUACCGGGAGAAUAAGCUCCGGCUAACUCCGUG